ACCUGCAGAAAUUUCUGCAGGACUCACUUCCCCUGCAGACAUAUGUUUCAAGCUAUAGAUGAUGGUUUGAUGGUAUGGGAGGACCUGCCUGAGGAUUACAGAAACAUACCGUUCUUCAUAAAAGAUAAAGGAAGUGAUAUUGGGAUAUGGCCAGCUGAUGUAAACAAAUGUUGUGAUUAUCCAGCAUCAGAAGAUGAAGAUGAAGAAGAAGAAGAAGAUGAAGAGGUUGGAGAAAAUAGGAAUGCGAGAAAGAAGAAACGGGAUAUAGACUAUAAAGGAGAUUGGCGGGAGGUUACAAACAGAUUUAUUUCAUUCGUUAAUGAUCCCGGGUUUGACGUGAUGGACGAUGAUGUCCGUACAUUAUUUUUAAAGAAACUUACAGAUACCGCCAAUGAUAUGGCACCC